AUUCAACGCUGGCGGACGGCCUACCACAUGCAAGUCGAGCGAGCGGCGGACGGGUCAGUAAUGUAUGAGGAUCUGCACAAUAGCGGGGGAUAACUACUGGAAACCGUAGCUAAUACCGCAUACUGUCGAAUGAACCCAUCUGGGAUUAGCUAGUCGGGGGGGUAAAGGCUCACCUGUGCGACGAUCUCGAGCUGGUCUGAGAGGAUAAUCAGCGACCAUGGGACUGAUAAACGGCCCAGACUGCUCCGGGAGGCAGCAGAGGGGAAUAUUGAACAAUGGGGGCGAGGCUGAUGCAAGCAUGCCGCGUGUAUGAAGAAGGCCUGAGGGUUGUAAAGGACUGUCAGCGGGGAGGUGUUACCCGCAGAAGAAGCACCGGCAAACUCCGUGCCAGCAGCCGCGGUAAUAC
rnacentral:rRNA from 1 species